ACGGGAGGAAGAACUAACAAGGAUUCCCCUAGUAACGGCGAGUGAAGAGGGAAAAGCUCAAAUUUAAAAUCUGGCGGUCUACGGCCGUCCGAGUUGUAAUCUAGAGAAGUGUUUUCCGCGCUGGACCGUGUACAAGUCCUUUGGAACAAGGCGUCAUAGAGGGUGAGAAUCCCGUCUACGACACGGACUGCCAAGCGCUUUGUGAUACACUCUCAACGAGUCGAGUUGUUUGGGAAUGCAGCUCAAAAUGGGUGGUAAAUUCCAUCUAAAGCUAAAUAUGGGCGAAAGACCGAUAGCGAACAAGUACCGUGAGGGAAAGAUGAAAAGCACUUUGGAAAGAGAGUUAAACAGUACGUGAAAUUGUUGAAAGGGAAACGCUUGAAGUCAGUCGCGUCUUCAGAAAUUCAGCUGGGCUUCUGCCCUGUGUACUUUUCUGUGGGACGGGCCAGCAUCAGUUUCGGCUGCCAGAAAAAGGUGGGAGGAAGGUGGCACCUCCGGGUGUGUUAUAGCCUCCGAUCGUAUGUGGCAGCUGGGACUGAGGACCGCAGCACGCCUUCAUGGCCGGGGUUCGCCCACGUAACGUGCUUAGGAUGCUGGCGUAAUGGCUUUAAGCGACCCGUCUUGAAACACGGACCAAGGAGUCUAACAUGCCUGCGAGUAUUUGGGUGGCAAACCCAUAUGCGCAAUGAAAGUGAACGGUUGGGACUUCUGUCAUGGAAGGCACCGACGCCCGGACCAGACCUAUUGUGACGGAUCCGAGGUAGAGCAUGUAUGUUGGGACCCGAAAGAUGGUGAACUAUGCCUGAGUAGGGUGAAGCCAGAGGAAACUCUGGUGGAGGCUCGUAGCGAUUCUGACGUGCAAAUCGAUCGUCGAACUUGGGUAUAGGGGCGAAAGACUAAUCGAACCAUUCUAGAGUUGCCAC
rnacentral:rRNA from 1 species